AUUGAACGCUGGCGGCAUGCUUUACACAUGCAAGUCGAACGGCAGCGCGGGCUUCGGCCUGGCGGCGAGUGGCGAACGGGUGAGUAAUGCAUCGGAACGUGCCCAGUAGUGGGGGAUAGCCCGGCGAAAGCCGGAUUAAUACCGCAUACGACCUGGGGGUGAAAGCGGGGGACCGAAAGGCCUCGCGCUAUUGGAGCGGCCGAUGUCGGAUUAGCUAGUUGGUGGGGUAAAGGCUUACCAAGGCGACGAUCCGUAGCUGGUCUGAGAGGACGACCAGCCAAACUGGGAAUGGGAAACGGCCAAGACCCCAAGGGGAGGCAGAAGGGGGGAAUUUGGGAAGAGGGGGGAAACCCUGAACCAGCAAGGCGGGGGGGGGGAAGAAGGCCUGCGGGUUGAAAACCGUUUUUUUGGGGGAAAAAAUCCUCGGGGCUAAAACCCCGGGGGGAGGACGGUACGGGAAGAAUAAGCACCGGCAAACAACG
rnacentral:rRNA from 1 species